GAAAUACUGGAAAAAUCCCGAGGAGUUCGACCCAGAACGAUUCGCCAACGCAGUUCACCAAGUACCGGGCUCGUUCUUUCGCUUUGGCAUGGGGCCAAGGAAGUGCUUAGGAUAUCGAUAUGCCGAGGCUAUUACUCGUGUGAUGGUGAUAUCAGUAUUGCGAAAGUACACCCUGCAAUUAUGCCGUGCUGGAGCGCAGCCAAAAUUAAAGACAAAGGGGUUUCCUGGCUCAAUACCAUAUGUUUGUCCGGGUGUUAUAUUUAAAGAUAGGCAGGAAAUUAGUGACUAAUAUAAAUGAACGACAACGUUCUUAUAGUAACAAAUGCUGUAAAUCAGUGGAUACAGUAUAUGCAAAUUUUUACAAAAAUUUAUAUAUUUCUCUUCUCCCGCACUGCCAUUCAAUGUUGUUUACCCAAUUAUUUACUAAAGUGAGAUGCCCAAUGAGACCCAAUCUCGUACCAGAGUAUGCCCGUUCGCAGGUGUGGUUCUGGACGUGACUCUGGAGAAACGGAAUACCGGAUAUCCAAUUUUGGAUACUCCGGUUAAUUGUACGCAUGAUCUUGCUUAAUUCGCAACCCUGAAUUCGCGCGGGCGUCAUUUGUUGCAAUUAUAAAAAAGUAGUAGAACUUGUCGAGAAUUUGAUACUUUUACAUUGAAAUCAACUGAAAAAUAUCUAUUUUCUUGUUCUAGAAGUUGUAGAGUAGAUACAUAAGGGGUGUAUAUAAACUAAGCAUUUUUAUGCAUUUUAUACGAUCAGUAAAUGGUAUCGAGAGAUUUCGGAGAUUUAGAGCAUAAAGUUGUAGUUUGACUAUUUUACAACUUAGAAUGCUCUAGAUUAUUGCAUAGGCCUACUAUGAUUUUAUGAUAUAAUAUUAAAAUAUCUAGAAUACUUGAUAUAGUUAACAUGUAGUUUGUUUAUUAAAUAUUUUUGUGUCUUGAAAUAUGAAAGAAGUGUGAAGUAUAGUUCCCUCUGUAUCAUUCCUUUUCAAUUCAACAUCGUGC